rnacentral:rRNA from 1 species
GUUCCGACCUGCACGAAUGGCGUAAUGAUGGCCAGGCUGUCUCCACCCGAGACUCAGUGAAAUUGAACUCGCUGUGAAGAUGCAGUGUACCCGCGGCAAGACGGAAAGACCCCGUGAACCUUUACUAUAGCUUGACACUGAACAUUGAGCCUUGAUGUGUAGGAUAGGUGGGAGGCUUUGAAGUGUGGACGCCAGUCUGCAUGGAGCCGACCUUGAAAUACCACCCUUUAAUGUUUGAUGUUCUAACGUGGAUCCGUAAUCCGGGUUGCGGACAGUGUCUGGUGGGUAGUUUGACUGGGGCGGUCUCCUCCUAAAGAGUAACGGAGGAGCACGAAGGUUGGCUAAUCCUGGUCGGACAUCAGGAGGUUAGUGCAAUGGCAUAAGCCAGCUUGACUGCGAGCGUGACGGCGCGAGCAGGUGCGAAAGCAGGUCAUAGUGAUCCGGUGGUUCUGAAUGGAAGGGCCAUCGCUCAACGGAUAAAAGGUACUCCGGGGAUAACAGGCUGAUACCGCCCAAGAGUUCAUAUCGACGGCGGUGUUUGGCACCUCGAUGUCGGCUCAUCACAUCCUGGGGCUGAAGUAGGUCCCAAGGGUAUGGCUGUUCGCCAUUUAAAGUGGUACGCGAGCUGGGUUUAGAACGUCGUGAGACAGUUCGGUCCCUAUCUGCCGUGGGCGCUGGAGAACUGAGGGGGGCUGCUCCUAGUACGAGAGGACCGGAGUGGACGCAUCACUGGUGUUCGGGUUGUCAUGCCAAUGGCACUGCCCGGUAGCUAAAUGCGGAAGAGAUAAGUGCUGAAAGCAUCUAAGCACGAAACUUGCCCCGA